UACGUAGGGGGCUAGCGUUGUCCGGAAUUACUGGGCGUAAAGCGUGCGCAGGCGGUUUGCUAAGACAGGUGUGAAAUCCCCGGGCUUAACCUGGGAACUGCGCUUGUAACUGGCAAGCUAGAGUGUGGCAGAGGGGGGUGGAAUUCCAGGUGUAGCAGUGAAAUGCGUAGAGAUCUGGAGGAACACCGAUGGCGAAGGCAGCCCCCUGGGCUAACACUGACGCUCAUGCACGAAAGCGUGGGGAGCAAACAGG
rnacentral:rRNA from 1 species